CUAGCUCCCUGCUCCUUCACCCGCAGCCUUGAAUCUCCCCCUCUAUUUCCCUCCUCGAUCCUCCUGUCCAAUAGAGGCUACCCCCACUCACCGCAGGGCGAUGCAGAAAAUCAGAGGAGGCCACGGGAAGAGAGGGAGGCUCACAGCACACUCAGCUAAGUGAGAGUGCUGUUAACAGUGAGGUCGGGGAAGGUCAGUCUUGUUUUCCUAAUGGCUAAGAGAUGGAGAUCUGGGGACCCUCUUUACUCUGACUGAAGCUUCACCCCAGAAGAUUUUUCUUGAAGACUCUCCGAGUAAAGAGGAGGGACAUGUAAGACACAGGGACCUCUGACCACAUCCCCUCCAUGUCCAGCUUUGCUGCACCAAGAGAGAGAUGUCCACCAAGUCAAUGAGGAGGAUUGCUUUGUGGUUUCUUUGUCCGCAUCAAAUCAUGUGUGACUAGCAGGAGAUUUGCUUGACAUCUCUUUUCACAUAAGAGAGAGAAAUGGAGCACAAGCCAGGGAGGGGCGAGAAAGAGACAGAGACACAGAAUCUGAAGCAGGCUGCAGGGUCUCAGCUGGCAGCACAGAAACCGACACAGGGCUUGAACUCACGAACGCAACCUCCUCAGCAACCACCUUAGGAGGUGGAGGGAGCAUGGAUCCCUGAGUACCGGAUGGAAGAGGACCCUACCAGCCUACAGCAAAUGCUUCAGACUUCCAUUGUGUUGCACCGCUGAGCUUUAGGGGCUUACCUGCUAAGGCAUAAGUUUUGUUUAUCCUAAUUAAUGAAUGUUUGUUGAACUGGUAAAUGAAUAUUCUCUUUGGUCCUUAUAGUAAAUUUAAGGUAGAUUAGUUACUUCCACUUGCCAGAUAAGGAAGGAGAUUCAGAGUUAAGAAGUAACAGAGCCAGAAGUUAAAUUUAUGUCUUCAAAUCCCAUGCUCUUUCGACUAUACCUGGCCGCCUGCAAAAAUACAGUCUCAUGUAUAUUUUAUGUGAAAUUUAGCAAAAGUUACCUCAGUGUAAUCGAGGUUAGGGACUUUCCAAAUGAGAGGGUCCCCUGGUCGUCACUGCUGUCAGGACAGGGUUGUCAUCUUGGAUGCAGUCAAGGCCUCCUGAAUCCAAGCACCUGAAAGAAGAGCCUUGGUCA